AACAAACGCUGGCGGCAGGCUUAACACAUGCAAGUCGAGCGCCCCGCAAGGGUAGUGGCAGACGGGUGAGUAACGCGUGGGAAUCUACCGUACCCUACGGAAUAACGCAUGGAAACGUGUGCUAAUACCGUAUACGCCCUACGGGGGAAAGAUUUAUCGGGGUAUGAUGAGCCCGCGUUGGAUUAGCUAGUUGGUGGGGUAAAGGCCUACCAAGGCGACGAUCCAUAGCUGGUCUGAGAGGAUGAUCAGCCACAUUGGGACUGAGACACGGCCCAAACUCCUACGGGAGGCAGCAGUGGGGAAUAUUGGACAAUGGGCGCAAGCCUGAUCCAGCCAUGCCGCGUGAGUGAUGAAGGUCUUAGGAUUGUAAAGCUCUUUCACCGGAGAAGAUAAUGACGGUAUCCGGAGAAGAAGCCCCGGCUAACUUCGUGCCAGCAGCCGCGGUAACAC
rnacentral:rRNA from 1 species